GCCCGCUGAGGCGACGUGUCCCUGGCCCGGCCGAUGGCCGCCGCCCGCCGCGCCCGCGCUGACUGAUGUAUUUGAAGAGGCCGGCGGGCGGCCUCGCCUUCUGCCUCUUCUACCUGGCCUCCAGCUUCACCAACAAGUAUGUCCUGUCUGUCCUGCAAUUUACCUACCCUACCCUUUUUCAAGGGUGGCAGACAUUGGUGGGUGGACUUCUGCUUCACAUCUCCUGGAAGCUGGGCUGGGUGGAGAUAAACUUGUGUUCAAGGUCUGAAAUCCUGUCAUGGCUUCCUGCAUCAGUACUUUUUGUGGGCAUUAUUUAUGCUGGCUCCAGGGCACUGUCUAGAUUGCCAAUCCCGGUGUUCCUCACUGUGCACAACGCGGCAGAAGUCAUAACCUGCGGGUUCCAGAAGUUUGUGCAGAAAGAGCAGACCUCUCAUCUGAAAGUCUGUAGUGUGCUGUUCCUCCUGGCAGCAGCAGUGUGCCUUCCUUUGUGUGACACACAGUUUGAUCCAAAUGGAUAUUUAUGGGCUCUAAUUCACUUGAUCUGUGUUGGGGCUUACAAAGUAUUUCACAAGUUGUGGAAACCUGGAUCUUUAAGUGAUCUGGACCAACAGUACAUCAACUAUGUGUUCAGUGUAGUGCUGUUGGCCUCUGCAUCCCAUCCAGCAGGUGAUCUCUUCAGUGCCUUGGAUUUUCCAUUCCUGUACUUCUACAGGUUUCAUAGCAGCUGCUGUGCCAGAUAUGUGGGAUUUGGAGGAAAACCUAUGCAAUGUAAGUGGACUGUUGGGAUUCUUUCUGAUGUUGCACACAGUGAAGCUAAAAAGCAGCACAACCUCGGGGCAAUAUGCAGCCUGGAGUUUCCUUGCAAAGGUUAUCACUGCUAGCUUAUCACCGUUCUUCUUUGUCAUGACUGCCAAUGUACUAACAAUUUCUUGCCUUGUGAUCGGUGGAGUUGGAGAAGCGUUGCUUGUUUACACUGAAAGGACAGGCACAUAAAGAGGAACCAGAUCUCACCAGCUGGAACAAAGCUGACUUGCAGCCUAGAGACACUAUCAAGAAAAAAAGUGGCAGCAGGAAUGAAGAAGUGCAACCAAACAUGAGGAAAGGGACCUAUUUUUUUUUUUUUUUAUUAAAAAAAGAACCUAUGCUAUUAAUAGUGCUAGUAAGGGAGCAGCAUAGCUGGCAGAGAUGGUAAGGAGCCUUUGCCUCAAAGCACAAGACCAACUAUAUCAGAUUGAUGUGGUAAAGAAAAAACUGCACUGUAUCAUGCUGAUGGCUCUGUGUGAGCACCACUCACUAGCAGCUUCUUGCACAGGGGCACAGGGAACUAAACUCAGGAAAAGCAGCAUUCCCCACUGUAUGCCCCGGGUGGUUUUUUUUUUGGUUUAUUUUGUUUGUUUGGUUUUGUUGGUUUUUUUUUUUUUGUUUGAAGCAGACAGCAGGUCAUACCAAACAACGUAUAAAUUCAGGAUCUGGAAGGAUUGAUUUUGCCUCGAACUGUUCUGUAAGCAGCAAGCUGCCACACACAGGUCUCUAGUCAUGUUGUCUGAACUGGCACAGGGACUGAGGCCAAAGGGCUUGUGGAGAUAAUCCCCUUCUGGAACUGUGGCAGUUUGACAGCUUUUCAGAAAGGGAAAAUCAGCAAUAAAUCUCAA